UGGGUGUAGACUUUCAGGAAGCACAGCCAUGAAGCUGCAUGCGUCUGUGUGUGGAUGCCUCAUGCCUUUUCCUGGUGGUUUGCAGGCAUGGAAGAUUCUUCUGUUCAUCUAAGCUCCUGACUUUAGGCCCUUCUAGAACAUUAGAGAGGAGAAGAAAUCACGUGCAAGGAUUUAGGGACAAGAGGAUGAGGUUUUGGUGUUUCCUUUCUGGUAUUAGGUUUUCCAGAGAGAGGCUGUUAGCCUGUCUCUCGCCCACUCCACCACUGUGAAUCCUGGCUACUGGGGCUAGUUCCUUGCUAGGAAAAAAAAACUCUAGAGAAAUGUGUUUGUGUGUGGUGGGUGGGCGGGGGCCCUGAGGAUGCAGGGACUGUGUCUGCUGUGUUGUCUGUUAUAAGAUGUUUCAGACCUAUUUUGCAUACUGGCAGCGACAAGUUGAGACUUGUUCAACUUGACACAGUCCUGUGGUCAUAGCGAAUCUUUCUAAAGCUCUGAUCAGUCAAGAAGGGGGUUGUAUCAAUCCUCAGAACCCUGAGUGGAACUUUCUACAGGAUUUAUUAGGAGAAAAACCUUCCCGGAAGCUGCAGAAGGACAAAUACAGAAUCCGUGUCUGGGAGAAACCUCGUGGCCUGGUCUCCAUUAUUUGAGAUGAGUUACAUCUUGGAGGUGAGGACGUGCCUCGUGGUCUAAAGCUUCGGCACAAGGGCCCAACUGGAAUUCCACUUACGGGCCUGAUCUUUUGGCCAGAAGGAGAUUAAAAAGAUGCCCCUCAAGAUGGCUGUGCCUGUCAGCUGCAUGGAGCUUCGUUCAAGUAUUUUCUGAGCCUGAUGGAUUUACAGUGAUCUUCAGUGGUCUGGGGAAUAACGCUGGUGGAACCAUGCACUGGAAUGACACACGCCCGGCACAUUUCAGGAUACUAAAAGUGGUUUUAAGGGAGGCUGUGGCUGAAUGCCUCAUGGAUUCUUACAGCUUGGAUGUCCAUGGGGGACGAAGGACUGCAGCUGGCUGAGAGGGUUGAGAUCUCUGUUUACUUAGAUCUCUGCCAACUUCCUUUGGGUCUCCCUAUGGAAUGUAAGACCCCGACUCUUCCUGGUGAAGCAUCUGAUGCACGUUCCAUCCGGCGCUCAGCUGGGCUUGAGAUUCCUGGGAACACCACCAUGGAGGGCCUGGCCUUUGGCGGUGGACAGUCUGUGGCUGGGUGGGAACGUCAGGAGUGGGGCCUGCCUCUUUGCUGGGAAUGCCGUGCACUCCCAGCCCACUUGCCCCAUGCCAGCACUCGAGGCAGGACUUCGCAGGUGAGCAGUAACGGAAAUCAGCCCCGUUUAUUCCUCCCAGCACCUGCCUUAUCCAACUCCCCACGCUGUGGCUGAGUCCCAGCCUGCUAUGGAAGCAUCACUGGACUCCCAUUGAACUCUGUGCAGAUUCGCUGUUCGUAGACAUGGUACCUGAUGGACACCAAGCUACGUACAGCUUCAAGGCCCCUUCUUUCUUUGCUAAUAAAAAAUAAAAAAUAAAAACAUAA
ensembl:lncRNA PVT1 Pvt1 oncogene